UGGUUUAAGCGCCUUACCUUAGGGUUUCCUCUGGGGUAAGUGAUUGCUUCUACACUGUGAAAAUUUGGCUGAGAGACUCAGACUGGUCAUGGGUAGACCUAUCUGGGGUUUGAUCGAUGCCACUCCUGGUUUCAGGAGUACCCUUCAUAAUAAACCUAGAAAUUCAGUAUUAUAAAGUUUAAUAAAAAACAACUUUUAACAAUGGAUCUCUUGGUUCUCGCAUCGAUGAAGAACGUAGCAAAGUGCGAUAACUAGUGUGAAUUGCAUAUUCAGUGAAUCAUCGAGUCUUUGAACGCAGCUUGCACUCUAUGGUUUUUCUAUAGAGUACGCCUGCUUCAGUAUCAUCACAAACCCACACAUAACAUUUGUUUAUGUGGUGAUGGGUCGCAUCGCUGUUUUAUUACAGUGAGCACCUAAAAUGUGUGUGAUUUUCUGUCUGGCUUGCUAGGCAGGAAUAUUACGCUGGUCUCAGGAUCUUUUUUUUUGGUUCGCCCAGGAAGUAAAGUACAAGAGUAUAAUCCAGUAACUUUCAAACUAUGAUCUGAAGUCAGGUGGGAUUACCCGCUGAACUUAAGCAUAUCAAUAAGCGGAGGAA
rnacentral:rRNA from 1 species